rnacentral:rRNA from 1 species
AUUGAACGCUGGCGGCAGGCCUAACACAUGCAAGUCGAACGGUAACAGGAAGAAGCUUGCUUCUUUGCUGACGAGUGGCGGACGGGUGAGUAAUGUCUGGGAAACUGCCUGAUGGAGGGGGAUAACUACUGGAAACGGUAGCUAAUACCGCAUAACGUCGCAAGACCAAAGAGGGGGACCUUCGGGCCUCUUGCCAUCGGAUGUGCCCAGAUGGGAUUAGCUAGUAGGUGGGGUAACGGCUCACCUAGGCGACGAUCCCUAGCUGGUCUGAGAGAAUGACCAGCCACACUGGAACUGAGACACGGUCCAGACUCCUACGGGAGGCAGCAGUGGGGAAUAUUGCACAAUGGGCGCAAGCCUGAUGCAGCCAUGCCGCGUGUAUGAAGAAGGCCUUCGGGUUGUAAAGUACUUUCAGCGGGGAGGAAGGGAGUAAAGUUAAUACCUUUGCUCAUUGACGUUACCCGCAGAAGAAGCACCGGCUAACUCCGUG